AGAUCUGAAAGUGAACAAAAGGGAACGAAAAAUUGAAAAAAGAAAGAAAGAAAGCGUAAUGGCAUUCAGUUCCUGUCUGUACCUCCCCCUGAAAGACGACGUAGGUUUUAUUCUAAACAGCAUGUUAGUGCAAGGCAUAAAUCAGCAGGAACGGAAAGACGUUUGCAUCUCCGGUGGCUGCCUGCGUUCACUUCUGCAGCAUGAAGCGUGACCUCAAGAAGAAACUCGUACUGUUCUCGUUCAUGUUCUACUUGACUCUUAACGUGGAAUCAACACAUGAAGUUAAUGGCACGUCAGAAGAAAACAUCACUGUUCAAUUCACUUUUCAAGAUUAUGUUAUAAACUCCAAACCUAGUCUGUACAAAAACGGGAAGAAGAUAGUAAGUUGGAAAGAAUCCACCACCCUCAAAGUAAAGUUUGCCCUGAGUCCUGUGGAAAACCGUACUGUCACACUUAACAUCACAAAUCUCACACUGGAAGAUGAAGGGACAUAUCAUGUCGCAGUGCUUCCAGAUGGUGUUAACUCUCUUUUUGAGAGCAAUAAGAUCAAUAUCAAAGUCAAAUUAGUCAAUAAAUCAGCAGAAACUGGAAAAGAAACGGAAGCUGUGCAUGAAAACAUAGUGACUAAUUCCCCUAAACUGGAGUCUUCGGAACAAAAACCAUUCCUCAUUUUCUUCUGUGCAUUAGUUACAAUAUUUAUAUUUAUAUGUCUCAUUGUGGGCAUAUUGUGCUGGCUUAUAAGGACCUAUCCAAGAAAACCAGAUGCAGAAAACCCUCCAGUUCACAACAACACAACACAACAGGGGCAGUGUGGGACAUCCGGGGCUGUGUUUGUCAGCUGUGUGGAGUAUGGAGAGUUAGACUUUCAAAAUAGACCGGAAAGAGAUGACAGAGUAGAACCUGCCGAGGCGACAUCAACGGCCCAGGACGGAGUGGAAUACGCUGCCAUCAUUUUCCCUCAGCAAAAACAGCCACCGAGUGGGCGGAUGAGAAAUAAACAGCAAGUACCUGCCAUUAAGUGA
ensembl:lncRNA